UCAUGUACAGUGGCAACUACUUCAAAUACAUUCAAGAUGAGAACAAAAUAUCAAUAGAUUCAAAAGGUAUUUUAGGGAUUGAUCGGGGAAAAGUAGAGGAAUUUCAACAGCCACCAGCUAUAAGGAAUAGGGACAGUGCAUGUGUAUAAGGAAUAUAGACAUAAUUUUUAUCCCUUGCAUCAGCAAACAGACCACAAAUGGACCCAUACAAGAGCUGUUGCAAAAGUUUUUAACGUGCAGUAAGCUGGAAACUCUUUCUUCCCGAGACCCUGACUCGUCCCUAUUGUGACCGGACAUGGCUGCGUAUUCAUACAUCCUGCACAGCCACUUAUACAUUCAUUUCAAAAUAUGGACUAAAAAUAUGAGCAAUCUCAUUAUAUGUUAUGAAUUACAAUCUAUUUAAUAUGGCCAUGUUAAGAUUAUAUUAU
rnacentral:lncRNA from 1 species